rnacentral:rRNA from 1 species
AUUGAACGCUGGCGGCAGGCUUAACACAUGCAAGUCGAGCGCGCGGCGGACGGGUGUAUCAUGUCUGGGACCCUGCCUGAUGGCGGGGGAUAACUACUGGAACCGGUAGCUAAUCCCGCAUACCCUCCGCUGUUCCCAGAUGGGAUUAGCUAGUAGGUGGGGUAAUGGCUAACCUAGGCGACGAUCCGUAGCUGGUCUGAGAGGAUGACCAGCCACACUGGAACUGAGACACGGUCCAGACUCCUACGGGAGGCAGCAGUGGGGAAUAUUGCACAAUGGGCGCAAGCCUGAUGCAGCCAUGCCGCGUGUGUGAAGAAGGCCUUCGGGUUGUAAAGCACUUUCAGCGGGGAAGCGGUACUCGCAGAAGAAGCACCGGCUAACUCCGUGCCAGCAGCCGCGGUAAUUC